rnacentral:rRNA from 1 species
UUGCCUCAGUAACGGCGAGUGAAGCGGCAAGAGCUCAAAUUUGAAAGCUGGCUCCUUCGGGGUCCGCAUUGUAAUUUGCAGAGGAUGCUUCGGGUGCGGCCCCUGUCUAAGUGCCCUGGAACGGGCCGUCAGAGAGGGUGAGAAUCCCGUCUGGGAUGGGGUGUCCGCGCCCGUGUGAAGCUCCUUCGACGAGUCGAGUUGUUUGGGAAUGCAGCUCUAAAUGGGUGGUAAAUUUCAUCUAAAGCUAAAUACUGGCCGGAGACCGAUAGCGCACAAGUAGAGUGAUCGAAAGAUGAAAAGCACUUUGAAAAGAGAGUUAAAAAGCACGUGAAAUUGUUGAAAGGGAAGCGCUUGCGACCAGACUCGCCUCCAGGGUUCAGCCGGCAUUCGUGCCGGUGUACUUCCCUGGGGGCGGGCCAGCGUCGGUUUGGGCGGCCGGUCAAAGGCUCCCGGAAUGUAGUGCCCUCCGGGGCACCUUAUAGCCGGGAGUGCAAUGCGGCCAGCCUGGACCGAGGAACGCGCUUCGGCACGGACGCUGGCAUAAUGGUCGUAAACGACCCGUCUUGAAACACGGACCAAGGAGUCUAACAUCUACGCGAGUGUUCGGGUGUCAAACCCGUACGCGCAGUGAAAGCGAACGGAGGUGGGAGCCCCCUCGUGGGGCGCACCAUCGACCGAUCCUGAUGUCUUCGGAUGGAUUUGAGUAAGAGCGUAAAUGUGGGGACCCGAAAGAUGGUGAACUAUGCCUGAAUAGGGCGAAGCCAGAGGAAACUCUGGUGGAGGCUCGCAGCGGUUCUGACGUGCAAAUCGAUCGUCAAAUUUGGGUAUAGGGGCGAAAGACUAAU